CCAGACUCCUACGGGAGGCAGCAGUGGGGGAUAUUGCACAAUGGGGGGAACCCUGAUGCAGCGACGCCGCGUGGGUGAAGGAGCGUUUCGGCGCGUAAAGCCCUAUCGGCAGGGAAGAAGGAGGACGGUACCUGACUAAGAAGCCCCGGCUAACUACGUGCCAGCAGCCGCGGUAAUACGUAGGGGGCAAGCGUUAUCCGGAUUUACUGGGUGUAAAGGGGGCGCAGACGGCAGCGCAAGCCAGGAGUGAAAGCCCGCGGCUCAACUGCGGGACUGCUUUGGAAACUGUUCAACUGGAGUGCUGGAGAGGUAAGCGGAAUUCCUAGUGUAGCGGUGAAAUGCGUAGAUAUUAGGAGGAACACCAGUGGCGAAGGCGGCUUACUGGACAGUAACUGACGUUGAGGCUCGAAAGCGUGGGGAGCAAACAGGAUUAGAUACCCCUGUA
rnacentral:rRNA from 1 species